GAAAAAAGGGGAACAGGUUUUUUGGCAGGUUGAAAAUUUACACUUACACAGGCAUCUUUUUGUUUUUUGCAAUGAGAAGAGAUUUAGACAUUUAAAGCCUAAGAUUUGUGCCUGAAGAUUUGUAUCAAAAAGAGACAAAUAUGUAUUUUAUAAACAGAUGCGACAGAGGGUCAGGUAUUCUGUGCUUAUGUGACUUGAAGUAGUCAAGAAUGACUUCUUUUUUCAUUGCAAUAAUGAAAAUUAUACUUGUAUGCAUUAACUGGAUCAGAAAGGAGCGUAUCAGGGAAGCGGAAUGACUUUACUGCUCUUGCUGUGCUUAAUUGUCAAAAACUCGCUGUUAUUUUUUCUCUUAUAUAUUCCACCUUUCUUUUAAGUGAAAGGCAGAUAUGGGAUAUCUGCUCUCCCUAGUUGAAAGAGAUGGUGCCAUAGAUGUUGAGUGAAUUUAUGUUCCCAACACAGAUGUCAUGUCUUGAACACUCCCAGGUAUUUUAGACUGUUGUUCUUUCAGAUAUUGUAAGGGCUCAGGGUCUUACAGUGAUGGAGACUAUCAGUUUUAACAGUGGUGGAACUUGGAGACACUGCAGCAGUUGAGCCACAGAGACUGCUUUGGCUAGUCAAACCUAGUAGAUUAAACUGUCUUUUACUGCUAUUUGCUUGAUGUGCAUGGAAAAAGCCUGAUCUGUAUCCUUUAGCACUACUUCUAACAUGCAGCUGAAGAGAGAACUUCAGGAAAUGUGGUUGGGGUAUUUACUGGCUUUGUAUAUUGACCUCCUUUUGUUAGCCUCCUCAUUUUGUUGCUUAAGCUAAUGGGCCCAAGCAACAAAAUCUCAUCAGAAAUAGUGUAUUUAUUUGAUUGUUUCAUGGAUAUCAGGAAUACAUGUAAAAUAGAGUUAAAACAUGACUGCCUUAAGUUCUUAAAAUUAUAUCCAAAAUGUAUCUGCUAUUGUUUCUGUUGAUUCCCUGUUUAAGUACAGUUCAGGAACAUUUUGUCCCUCCAUAUAUAUCCAAGCAUCUUAACAGCAGAGUGAAGCAAGACAGCAUGAUUCUUCUCUGUUUAAUAAUUUGCCCAGGCACUCGUAUCUGAAAAGCACACAGAAAUAAACAUUUUAGGGAGAAAAUCUAGUCUUUGUAGAUAAGCUCUGGGAAAAGGGAAAGAAAAAUUCCCUCUCACAAACAAGCAAUUCCAGCACCACAUUGUUGUUACAUGUUUUGUUCUAUAGUUACAAUGGCCUUGGUGUUGAUAACAGAGCAGAGAUGGAGCAGGUAGCAAGUUUUUGUUUCUGCUGGUUGAAGAACAUUAAUUCUUCUGAGAAAUAGGGAUGAUGUUGGUAUAAAUCACUCUUCCCAAGUUGUUGGAGUUGAACUGAGAAGCAAGAACAUGGCAAAUUAGUGCUCUACUUGCUUUGUCUGCCAGCCAGAAAAGUAUAUCUAUAGAAGCAGCUAAGGAAAUGUACAGAAUAGAGUAAAAUUCAUUUCCACAUCUAAAGGUAAAUUCAUAAGCUGAAAAUUCUGUUUUCAACAUCUGAAUGUACUGAAAUAUCCUGUUUAUUAUAUCUAUACACUUAGUGACAGAACUUAAAUUUCUUGUUCCCUGUUUUGUAGCAAGUAUCUGUAGUAGCAAGCAGUUGAAGAGCAUACUUCACCAGUAGCCUGCAUGCUUUUCCUUUUUCUUUCCUGGGUCUAGCUGACUGUUAAUUCAAUAGAACGGAGCUGUACAAACCUCCAACACAUGCAGUUCUUUGGACGUGAAAAUCCACCUCCCAAAAGCUUUUGUGUUUUUUGUUAGAGAAGCCCUCUUGCUGAGAGACAGCUGUGCAGAUUUUACACCUGCUUAAAAAAAGACAGCAAAGAAAACUGAAAUAUGGGCUCAUCUUCAGAGGAGCUGAGCACCCGUCAGCACUGUCACCUUCUGUGGGAGCAUGAAUACCCAUUUCUGGCAGUAAGGCUCUGUAGCAGCAUGGAAGUGUUCUUUACCUGGGAGCAGGCCCUGUUCUGUUGACAGACAGAAACUUAGAGAGAAAUUAAGCUUCUGAAAAGUGACUCUGUAUCUGUCUCCCAGUGACAGAACCUGCUGAGACAACAGCAAAUACAAACACGAGGCUUCCAUGCGGUGCUACUGCUUUAUUAUUUCCUC